rnacentral:lncRNA from 1 species
GGCCUGGCCGCGGCCUGCGGGUGUAGGCGCCUCGGCGGCCACCGCGUCCCCAGGGGGCCUCGCGGACGGGGGCGCGGGGCUGCGGGGAGGAGGCGGGCGGGCCCCUCGGGCGACACCGCGGGGCGGGCGGCGGGAAGCCCGGACUCAGCGGUUUCCUGGGCAACCGGCCUCCUCCGGCGCGGCCCGCGCGGCUCCAGGUGGCGGGAGGCGGCGGUUGGCGGGAAGGGCCGCGCGGGCCCGGGGGCGGCGCCUCAGAUGCGCUCUUUCCAGAAAGGCAGCACACGCAUGUCUCUGCCGUGGCCCCAGAUCCUCCCCGCGCCGCCGUUUUGAGCGUUCACACUCAUUACCCAGGUCCGUCUGGGAGACCCGCCGGGCUCCCGCCCU